UUAAAUCUAUGCAAAGUAAGUUUGAGCUUUAAACAUUUUAAAGUGGUCAUAUCUUUUUCUAUUUGAUACAUGCAAAAGAAAGGGAAAUAUAUGGCUAAACUUCUGACGUUUGUUUAUGUUAUGAUAUACUUUUUGUCCCUAUUUCUUGUUACAAAGGGGGCACACGUUGAAUGUCAUAAUGAUUCUGCUUGUGAAAAAACAGUUAAGUGUAUGCUUCCUAGGAUUCCUCGGUGUAUUAAAUACCAAUGUCUAUGUGGUUAUUCAGAUGAUCCUGGAAAUCGUUGGAGUACAAGACCAAAGAGAAUACAAAAAGGCUCUACAGAGAGGAAGGGCUUCUUGUACUAGGAAAAUAUAUAAAAAUAUCAUAUAUGAUAAAAUAUUCUACGAUAUGUAAUUUAAUUUUUGUGUUGGCACCCAAUACUUGAAUUAUUUUUUUUCUUCUCUAA